GACGAACGCUGGCGGCGUGCUUAACACAUGCAAGUCGAACGAAGUGGCGAACGGGUGAGUAACGUGUAAUCAACCUGCCCUUCAGAGGGGGACAACAGUUGGAAACGACUGCUAAUACCGCAUACGGAUGGAGGGGUUUGCGUCUGAUUAGCUAGUUGGAGGGGUAAUGGCCGACCAAGGCGAUGAUCAGUAGCCGGUCUGGGAGGAUGAACGGCCACAUUGGGACUGGGACACGGCCCAGACUCCUACGGGAGGCAGCAGUGGGGAAUCUUCCGCAAUGGGCGAAAAUCUGACGGAGCAACGCCGCGGGAGUGAUGACGGCCUUUGGGUUGGAAAGCUCUGUUAAUCGGGACGCGGUACCGGAAUAGAAAGCCACGGCUAACUACGUGCCAGCAGCCGCGGUAAUUC
rnacentral:rRNA from 1 species